rnacentral:rRNA from 1 species
GCGUGGGGGGGGGCUAUACAUGCAGUCGUGCGCACGGAAGGGAGCUUGCUCCCGGAAGUGAGCGGCGGAUGGGUGAGUAACACGUGGGCAACCUGCCUGAAAGACGGGGAUAACUCCGGGAAACGGGAGCUAAUACCGGAUAGGGCUCCGACACCGCCUGGUGUCGGAGGGAAAGAUGGUUUCGGCCAUCGCUUUCAGAGGGGCCCGCGGUGCAUUAGCUGGUUGGCGGGGCAACGGCCCACCAAGGCAACGAUGCAUAGCCGACCUGAGAGGGUGAUCGGCCACAUUGGGACUGAGACACGGCCCAAACUCCUACGGGAGGCAGCAGUAGGGAAUCUUCCGCAAUGGACGCAAGUCUGACGGAGCAACGCCGCGUGAGCGAAGAAGGUUUUCGGAUCGUAAAGCUCUGUUGCCGGAGAAGAACGGGAGGGAGAGGCAAUGCUCCCUUCGUGACGGUAUCCGGCCAGAAAGCCACGGCUAACUACGUGCCAGCAGCCGCGGUAAUACGUAGGUGGCAAGCGUUGUCCGGGAAUUAUUGGGCGUAAAGCGCGCGCAGGCGGCUUCUUAAGUCUGAUGUGAAAGGCUGCGGCUCAACCGCAGACGGUCAUUGGAAACUGGGGAGCUUGAGGGCAGAAGAGGAGAGUAGAAUUCCACGUGUAGCGGUGAAAUGCGUAGAGAUGUGGAGGAAUACCGGUGGCGAAGGCGGCUCUCUGGUCUGCAGCUGACGCUGAGGCGCGAAAGCGUGGGGAGCAAACAGGAUUAGAUACCCUGGUAGUCCACGCCGUAAACGAUGAAUGCUAGGUGUUAGGGGGGUCCAACCCCUUAGUGCUGAAGUCAACACAUUAAGCAUUCCGCCUGGGGAGUACGACCGCAAGGUUGAAACUCAAAGGAAUUGACGGGGGCCCGCACAAGCAGUGGAGCAUGUGGUUUAAUUCGAAGCAACGCGAAGAACCUUACCAGGUCUUGACAUCCUCCGACCGCCUGAGAGAUCAGGCUUUCCYCUUCGGGGGACGGAGUGACAGGUGKKSMRUGGUUGUCGUCAGCUCGUGUCGUGAGAUGUUGGGUUAAGUCCCGCAACGAGCGCAACCCUUGAUCCUAGUUGCCAGCAUUGAGUUGGGCACUCUAGGGUGACUGCCGGUGACAAACCGGAGGAAGGUGGGGAUGACGUCAAAUCAUCAUGCCCCUUAUGAUCUGGGCUACACACGUGCUACAAUGGGCGGUACAAAGGGCCGCGAGACCGCGAGGUUGAGCGAAUCCCGGAAAGCCGCCCCCAGUUCGGAUUGCAGGCUGCAACCCGCCUGCAUGAAGCCGGAAUUGCUAGUAAUCGCGGAUCAGCAUGCCGCGGUGAAUCCGUUCCCGGGCCUUGUACACACCGCCCGUCACACCAUGAGAGCGGGUAACACCCGAAGUCGGUGGGAGAACCCUUUGGGGACUCAGCCGCCGAAGGGAGCCAU